UCGAUGUUUUUGUACAUCACUAAUAAGAAUAAGAACUAUUCUUUCUAUUUCCGCAGCGGCCAUCAUGAGCAGUUCACUUAUUCCCGUAAAUAAUUAUUUAAACCAAAUGAACGCAGAACGAAUGCGGUCGCUUGCAUUGUCUGCAGAUUGAUGCUGAUUACAAUGUAGUCCAAGAUUAUUAUGGAGAUCCACCGGCCUGGUGCUGCUGUGGUCCCACGUGUUGCCGGAGCAAUAGUAAGUUUUCAGUGCCACCUACUGUACUCUCGCACCAGCAAUGUCAAGACUGUCUACAAGCCAUGAUCAAAGGUGGGUCAGCAUGAGGCAAUUCCGGGAAAAGCAACUUCUUUUUAAAUGAUUCCACUUACAUUACCGAAUCGGGGACACAUAGAACCCGCCACUGAUUUAAGAAUUCUUGCAACUAAUAAUGAUGUGUUGAUGUGGUGGUGGCCUAAGAAAAUUGGAAACCUCGGCUACUCUUUCGUUCGGUUGUUGUUCAGCUCAGGCAGUCCCAUAGAGAUGAGAAGUUACUCCUUGUGGACCCAGUAGCGGAUUGGGAUCAGGACGAUUGCUUUUAAGGAUAAGAAAUAGCAUGCGGCCUUCACAUACAGGAAUCAAAAUGACUAUGAUGAAUGAAUUAAUGGCUUUAUUUUGGAAAUAUUUGGGUAGAUUCUGGAGGAAACCAAUUUAAUUUGAGGCUUUAUUUUGGAAAUAUUUGGAAAGAUUCUUGAGGAAACCAAUUUAUAAAUGGAUUUAAUUUGAGUUUGAACCAUUGAUGCAUGGAUUGUGGCAUGGCCCUCUUGUGAGCUAAUGCCAGUGGCAGAAUUCUGGAGAACAUCGACUGACUAAAAACUACCACAAUUAUUCCGUGAAUGUUAUCCCUAAUUGAUGAAUAAAAACAAAAUUUGUACUUGUAA